CACGUAGGGCGCAAGCGUUGUCCGGAAUUAUUGGGCGUAAAGAGCUCGUAGGCGGUCUGUUACGUCUGCUGUGAAAACCCAGGGCUUAACCCUGGGCUUGCAGUGGAUACGGGCAGACUAGAGUGUGGUAGGGGAGACUGGAAUUCCUGGUGUAGCGGUGAAAUGCGCAGAUAUCAGGAGGAACACCGAUGGCGAAGGCAGGUCUCUGGGCAUUAACUGACGCUGAGGAGCGAAAGCAUGGGGAGCGAACAGG
rnacentral:rRNA from 1 species